rnacentral:ribozyme from 1 species
AAAGGAUGAAAGAAGAAAGAGAGGUGGAAGGAGAAGUGAAAGAAGGAACGAAAAGAACACAAUUCACUUCAUUCAUCUUUCAUUUGCUCUUUUAUUCGGUUCACUUAUAAUGUAAUGUGAGUGAAAGCAUGAAGUGAACCGAAUAAAAAGAGAAAUGAAGAGAAUGGUGAAUUUGGUUCCUUUUCAUUUCCUUUUGAAUAGAAUGGAAUGUAGUGAAAGGUGAAAAAGAACAAAGUGAGAAAGAAGCGUGCUUUCACUUCACUUCAUUACCUUCUUUUCACUUUGGUCUUUUGUUCACCUUUCAUUACACCAUUCUUUCAGGAAAUGAGGAAGUGAAUAA